AAAUUGAAGAGUUUGAUCAUGGCUCAGAUUGAACGCUGGCGGCAGGCCUAACACAUGCAAGUCGAACGGUAACAGGAAGAAGCUUGCUUCUUUGCUGACGAGUGGCGGACGGGUGAGUAAUGUCUGGGAAACUGCCUGAUGGAGGGGGAUAACUACUGGAAACGGUAGCUAAUACCGCAUAACGU
rnacentral:rRNA from 1 species